rnacentral:lncRNA from 1 species
CGCCCCAUAGCCCACGGAUUCAUCGUUGAUCCACGUGCCCUCGUGCCGUGCCGUGAUGCUGGCGUCCUCGCGCAACACACGCGGCGGUGCCGCAUACAGGCAGGCGCCGUUCAUGCGGCCGUCGCUCCACUGGCCCAUGUAGAGACAGCCGUCGGCCGACACGUGGAUGCCCCAUCCGUGGGGUCGGUUGGCCCACCACUGGCCGCGAUAGACACCGCCUCUCGGGUAAAAGACGGUCCCAUGGCCGCAGCGGUCGCCGUCGACCCAUUCGCACGCAUAGCGUCGGCCCGACACGGUGCAAUCGAGCACGCCAUAGCCAUUCUCGUCGCCGCGUGCCCACCCGCCCUCGUAGCGACUGCCGUCGGCAUAGGUGUAGACGCCGUGACCGUGUUCGCGGUCUCUCUGCCACUCACCGUCAUAGGCAUCACCGGCGGUCCACACGCACCGGCCGCGCCCAUGGCGCAGGCCACAGUCCCAGUCGCCCGUGUAGGUCCAAUGGGUCGUGCUACGCCAGCCGUGGCCGUGUGCAAACCCGCCCUCCCAGAGGCCCUCGUGGCGUGAACCGUCGCGGUACGUGCGCGCGCCUUGGCCGCACAUGCGCCCCGCGCGCCACUGACCCUCAUAGUGGGCGCCCACUGACUGAUCGCUGUCGCACCGACGUCGCCGUGCCGUGGAGCCAUCGCGAUGAUGUGUGGGCAGGCUCAGGGCCAAGCCAUAACCAUCAGGCAGGCCGCCGACGAGGUCGCCCCAAUAGAUACGACCGAGGUGGAUCGUGGCGCCCACCUGGGUCGUGAGCGUGCCCGUGCAGGCCUGUGCGCGAUAGAGCCAGCGCCAGUCUUUGCCCGCCUCUAAAAACCCGCGAUGGAGAGGCGCGCCAAAGCGCCUCAUGCAGAGGGCGCGCCACACUGUGCCAUCCGUCGCGAGGUCGCGGUAGCGCCGCGCCGUCGACGACAAGUUGACGAGGCUGAAUGCAUCGUCUAGAACAGACAUGAUCAUCAGCACCAAUUCAUCGGGCAAUGUGUCAAACAAGUCGAUCCCAUUUGUGUCGUCUGCCCGGUCGGCCUCGGGAGACGCCCUCGUUGCCAUCAUGCGCGCUUUUUCCGUGGGCGCCGCCGCUUUCACCCCCUGCACUCGCCUGGUGGCGGUGCCACCAUGUCCCCGGCGAGAAAAACAAAGACAUGGACCGCCAUCGCCCCAUGUCGCAAAGUUUGUUCCCCCCCCCCCACCUGGUCGCACAAGACGGAUGAAAAC